GACGAACGCUGGCGGCGUGCCUAAUACAUGCAAGUAGAACGCUGAAGGAGGAGCUUGCUUCUCUGGAUGAGUUGCGAACGGGUGAGUAACGCGUAGGUAACCUGCCUGGUAGCGGGGGAUAACUAUUGGAAACGAUAGCUAAUACCGCAUAAGAGUAGAUGUCGCAUGACAUUUGCUUAAAAGGUGCAAUUGCAUCACUACCAGAUGGACCUGCGUUGUAUUAGCUAGUUGGUGAGGUAACGGCUCACCAAGGCAACGAUACAUAGCCGACCUGAGAGGGUGAUCGGCCACACUGGGACUGAGACACGGCCCAGACUCCUACGGGAGGCAGCAGUAGGGAAUCUUCGGCAAUGGACGGAAGUCUGACCGAGCAACGCCGCGUGAGUGAAGAAGGUGUUCGGAUCGUAAAGCUCUGUUGUAAGAGAAGAACGAGUGUGAGAGUGGAAAGUUCACACUGUGACGGUAUCUUACCAGAAAGGGACGGCUAACUACGUG
rnacentral:rRNA from 1 species